AUGUCUGCCGAUUGGAGUGACGAUAACACUACGAUCUUGACCGAGCUCUUUGUCCAACAAGUGCGUGCUGGCAAUAGGCCAGACAAGCACUUGACUCAAAAUGCUUAUGAGGAAGUUGCGAAGGAUUUUAAAGUCAGAACAGGCCUGGAGUACACCAGGCUCCAACUAAAGAACAAGUGGGAUAAGUUGAAGACUGAUUACAGCAAUUUCAGAAAACUCAAAUUGAAGGAGACUGGUGGUGGGUGGGACUAUGAGAGAAACACCAUCAAACAAGAUGAUGAAUGGUGGAAGAAAGCAAAGAUAGACAUCCCUGGCUGUGGCAAAUUCCGAAAGCGCGGACUUCGAAAUGAGAAUAACUUAUCUAUCAUGUUUGCUGACAUCACAAGUGAUGGUACAGAUCAUUGGAAUCCUGCUUCAGGCACCAUUCCCCAAUCUAGCAGUGCAACUUCAGUUUUCAAUGUGGACGACAUACAAGAUGUUGAUCUGGAGGAGACCCAAACAGGUGAGUCACAUGCCGAUGGAAAAGGGAAGAGACUUGGCAGGUAUGUGGAUGGCAAUAACAAGAAGCCAAAGACAUCUCUUGUUAUACAAGAACAGAUAACCAGGGUUGGAGAUAUAGCAGAGAGGACCCAAUCCAGCUUUGAGUCAUACAUGAAGAAAGAAGAGAGUUCAUCGAUUACUUCUGUGAUGGAUCUGGUUGUUGAGUGUGGUGCAAUAGUAGGCAGUGAUGAAUAUUUCAUUGCUAGUGAACUAUUUGUGAAGCGAGAGCAGAGAGAGAUGUUCCUGCAUAUGACUGAAAGUGCUGCUCGUUUAGAUUGGUUGCGUAGGAAAUACAAUAGCAAGUAUGGGCAUUAG
rnacentral:rRNA from 1 species